rnacentral:rRNA from 1 species
UUUUAGACCACUCAGGGGAACCUGUCUCAUAAUCGAUGAUCCACGUCAAACCUGACCUUUUUUUGCGUUCAGCUUGUAUACCGUCGUCGUCAGGUAACUUCUAAAAAACUAAAAGUUAGCGAAAGAAUUUGUAAAUUACAAUGUCAGAUCAGGGUGCAGCUUAUAAAAAGGGGAGGAUGGGUUACAAUUAUAAAUCUUAAUUACGGAAGACCAUUAGAAUUAAUCGGCCUGAAGGAGGACUUGAAAGUAAUUUUAAAUAUACAAAUUACAUGAAUAAGGCUCUGAAAUGUG